CCGGCGUGUCACGUGGCCGAGCGGCGUCCGGGGCGCGGAGCUGCGGGCCGUUGGGCAUGGACUCUCAGAUCGCCGGGGCCCCGGCGCUGGGGGCGGCGGAGCCGCCGCCGGGUCUGCCGGUGCUGAGCACGCGGGAGGCGCCCCCCCGCUUGGGGGCUGCCUUUGCCCCAGCUGGCCGCUCCGGUCAGGAGAGAGAGACCGAGAAGGCUGCGGAUCGACUAGCCAGCGGAGCACAGAGCAUCCCUCAUGAUAGUCCUGCCCACGGUGAGGGCAGCCAUUGUGAAGAGGAAGGCUUUGCUGUGGAUGACGAGGAUUCCGAUGGGGAACCGAACCCCUGGGAGCUGUCAGAAGGGGUGUCCGGCUGUCCACCCAGGGAACAGGCUGCUGAUCUUUUUAACGAGGACUGGGACUUGGAGUUGAAAGAAGAUCUAGGGAAUCCAUAUGAUGCUGACGACAUCCAGGGCUGCCUUUCUCAAGAGGUCAGACCCUGGGUGUGCUGUGCCCCGCAAGGAGACAUGAUCUAUGACCCCAGUUGGCACCAUCCACCUCCACUGAUACCCCAUUAUUCCAAGAUGGUCUUUGAAACGGGACAGUUUGAUGAUGCCGAAGACUGAGGGCAUAGCUUUUGCCUGGCGGUCAGGACCAUCUGGCAAAAGGUGCCCAGACCUUGAUCGUGCAGAGAACCUGAUGGACCCAGAGGGGCUGUGGGACAAGGAGGACCCGUGAAGAUGGAUAUUGGAUGACGUCAUGCACUGCUUGAGGAAGUGAGAACCCCAGAAGGCCCAGAUGGAAGCUCAGGGUCGGAAAUUGGGAUGGUCAGAGAGACAACAGUUUUGCUUCUUGAACCCCCAAGAUGCAGGAGAUGCAGAGUUAACAGAAGCCUAGAUGAGAACGACUUACUGCUGGGGGCAGGGGACCAGGCCAUCAGCCUCGUCUCUAGAACCUCCUGCAACCAACGCCCAUCUUCCAGCCCUGACUCAACAUAGCCCCAGAGUGAGAGGCUUUGAAUGCUUGUUUCCCUCUUGGCAGCUUGAGUAGGUUUGCCCUGAAGGUCCACUAGCUUCCUCCCAGGAACAAGCUUCAUGGAGUUUGAUUGACGUUUCCAAACAGGACAGAUAUCCUGACUCACCUGGGCUGGCGCCCGCUGAGACAGUCUGCGGAAACCAGAAAUGGGUUCCUUGCCCACAGCCAGGACCACCGCAGUGCCUCUCAUCAGGCCUGCCCCUAAUGUCAGAGGAUCCCAUGACAAGAAGGCAAAAGGAGGCCCACAUGCCAUCUGUCCAAAUAUUUAAAAGUUGUGAAUCAGGCCAACAAAGUGCUAUAUGCAUUCCAUCCUUCUACCUUGACAAACGCACCUUUUUAAUGGCAAGAUCAAAAAAUACAUAUGUGUAAAUGUGUAUAAAACUACGUGUAUGGCUAUGUAAUUCCUGUUACUGAAAUUGGCAAUGUAGUAAA